AUCCAGAUGACCAGUCCCAGAUCGGGCGAAACACGCGUCCUGGAC
rnacentral:hammerhead_ribozyme from 1 species